rnacentral:rRNA from 1 species
UGAGGAAUAUUGCGCAAUGGGGGAAACCCUGACGCAGCAACGCCGCGUGUGGGAAGAAGGCCUUCGGGUCGUAAACCACUUUUACUCGGGACGAAAAAGGGAUGUCAAAUAAACAUCCCCGAUGACGGUACCGUGAGAAUAAGCCACGGCUAACUCUGUGCCAGCAGCCGCGGUAAGACAGAGGUGGCAAGCGUUGUUCGGAAUUACUGGGCGUAAAGAGUCUGUAGGUGGUUUGUCAAGUCUUUGGUGAAAGGCCGUAGCUUAACUAUGGGAAUGCCAAAGAGACUGGCAGGCUGGAGGCUGGGAGAGGGAAGCGGAAUUUCUGGUGUAGCGGUGAAAUGCGUAGAUAUCAGAAGGAAGGCCGGUGGCGAAGGCGGCUUCCUGGAACAGUCCUGACACUGAGAGACGAAAGCGUGGGGAGCAAACAGG